rnacentral:rRNA from 1 species
CUGGAAGCAACUGAUUUCACACUGUCAAGAAAAGCCGCUAGCGAGACCGUAGGUGCCCGUACCGCAAACCGACACAGGUAGAUGAGGAGAGAAUCCUAAGGUGAGCGAGAGAACUAUUGUUAAGGAACUCGGCAAAAUGACCCCGUAACUUCGGGAGAAGGGGUGGUCUAGCGAUAGACCCGCAGUGAAUAGGCCCAGGCAACUGUUUACCAAAAACACAGGUCUCUGCUAACACGAAAGUGGAUGUAUAGGGGCUGACGCCUGCCCAGUGCUGGAAGGUUAAAGAGAUUAGUUAGUAUGACGUAAGUCGAUAAUACGAAGCUUUGAACUGAAGCCCCAGUGAACGGCGGCCGUAACUAUAACGGUCCUAAGGUAGCGAAAUUCCUUGUCAGGUAAGUUCUGACCCGCACGAAAGGCGUAAUGAUCUGGGUACUGUCUCAACCAUAGACUCGGUGAAAUCUUAAUACCUGUGAAAAUGCAGGUUACCCGCGACUGGACGGAAAGACCCCGUGGAGCUUUACUGUAGCUUGAUAUUGGGAUUCGGUAAAUUAUGUAGAGCAUAGGUGGGAGACUAUGAGAUUAAGGCGCCAGCCUUAAAGGAGUCACCAUUGGAAUACCACCCUUAGUUUAUUGAAUUUCUAACCUAGGACCAUGAUCUGGUUCAGGGACAGUGUCUGGUGGGCAGUUUGACUGGGGCGGUCGCCUCCUAAAAUGUAACGGAGGCGUUCAAAGGUUCCCUCAGAAUGGUUGGAAAUCAUUCGCAGAGCGUAAAGGUAUAAAGGGAGCUUGACUGCGAGACCUACAAGUCAAGCAGGUGCGAAAGCAGGACUUAGUGAUCAGGCGAUUCAGAAUGGAAUGGUCGUCGCUUAACGGAUAAAAGUUACCCCGGGGAUAACAGGCUGAUACCACCCAAUAGUUCACAUAGACGGUGGUGUUUGGCACCUCGAUGUCGGCUCGUCAUAUCCUGGAGGUGGAGUUGCUUCCAAG